GGUUAAGCGACUAAGCGUACACGGUGGAUGCCCUGGCAGUCAGAGGCGAUGAAGGACGUGCUAAUCUGCGAUAAGCGUCGGUAAGGUGAUAUGAACCGUUAUAACCGGCGAUUUCCGAAUGGGGAAACCCAGUGUGAUUCGUCACACUAUCAUUAACUGAAUCCAUAGGUUAAUGAGGCGAACCGGGGGAACUGAAACAUCUAAGUACCCCGAGGA
rnacentral:rRNA from 1 species